AUGAGACCCGCAGCAACAGCGGUAGCAGCCUCCGCCGCCGCGCUCCGAGCCGCGUUCCUCGCCCCUCCCGCUGCCGCCUUCCGCCUCCUCCCUCCCCGCCGUGUCUUCUUCCUCCCCCUCCACCGCCUCUCCUCCUCCUCGUCCCCGGUCGCCCCUCCUUGCGCCGCUUCCUUCGACUCCCAGCCGCUGCCGUUGCCUGCCUUCAUGGACGCGCAGUUCGAGUCCUUCCGGGCGCAGCUCGAUGGCUCCUCCACCCUCCGCGACCGCAUCCGCGCCGUCGUCUCCGAGGUCGAGUCAGCCUCCCGGGCCGCCUCCGCUGCGCUCCUCCUCAUCCACCAGCCCGUCCCCCUAUCUGAUGUGCUCGGCAAGGCGAAGGCGCAGGUGGAGGUGAUCAAGGGGCUGUACUCUCAGCUCGCGGAGAUCCUCAAAGAGUGCCCCGAUCAGUACUACAGGUAG
rnacentral:rRNA from 1 species